AUUGAACGCUGGCGGCAUGCCUUACACAUGCAAGUCGAACGGCAGCGGACCUUCGGGUGCCGGCGAGUGGCGAACGGGUGAGUAAUAUAUCGGAACGUACCUUUCAGUGGGGGAUAACGUAGCGAAAGUUACGCUAAUACCGCAUAUUCUGUGAGCAGGAAAGCAGGGGAUCGCAAGACCUUGCGCUGAUUGAGCGGCCGAUAUCAGAUUAGCUAGUUGGUGAGGUAAAGGCUCACCAAGGCGACGAUCUGUAGCGGGUCUGAGAGGAUGAUCCGCCACACUGGAACUGAGACACGGUCCAGACUCCUACGGGAGGCAGCAGUGGGGGAAUUUUGGACAAUGGGCGCAAGCCUGAUCCGGCCAUGCCGCGUGAGUGAAGAAGGCCUCGGUUGU
rnacentral:rRNA from 1 species